GCAAUUUUCAGCAGUUUCCCGACCUGGGAGGCAACAGUAACAUCCUACUUCCCUGAAAGCUGGCAGUAAACUCCAAGUCCCAACUUUUGAUGUUCCAGCCCUUCCAAUGGUUGUAUAAACCCCUGACUCCCUGCCCUAAACCUUUUUCCAUUGGGGGCCUCGUAAGGUGGCACCUAGCCCCACUAACACGGCAUGUGUGUGUGUGUGUGCACCUGCACCUGCACCUGCACCUGCACAGGAGUCAGCUAGAAAGCACAAAGGCGAAUGUGUCACUCCUGUGGCAUGGGACCAUGAAUGGCCUCUGUUUGCCCUCUAGUUCUCUGGCUGGGAACUCAGAGAUGUCCCUCCCUGUCCAAUCUCAUCUCCUGCCACUCCCCAUACUUCCUCCCCAGCAGCUCCGCUCCAGGACAUUGAUAACUGUGAAUAGAAGACAGUCGUUGGGAGAUUUCACCGCAAUCUGAAUGACCACUCACUUUUUAUCUCCACACAAGACUGUGAGCCCCUUGAGGAUGGAGGCUCAGUUGCAUUUUUCUUGGUACCACUAGAAAUCAGCAUUGAAGUUGGCAAAAAGUAGGGAUCAGGGAUUUUUUUUUUCUUAAAUUCAUGAGUGAACGCUGUCUCCCUGGUCAAACUGUUUUCAGAGGAUUGAGAUAAGGAGGCAUUUGUCUGCAGGUUCCCAUCUCCAGAGCAGAGGCUCUGCAUGAUGUCUUCAAAGCCAGAUUGGAUCCCUACCCCGGUCUGGAGUGUGAGCUAGAGCCUCGGCCCUCACCAGCAUAUGCUAUAGCAAGGGCUCUGGGCAGGGAGGCAUCAAACCCCAGGUGCUCAGGGGGACUCUGCUCCCCUCCAUUUUUUCUAGAAAUGUACCAGGACCCCUUCCCUGUGCUGGGUGCUAAGGAUACAGCAGCAAACAAAAUAGGCUGUCCCUCUGUCUUCACGGGCACAAUAUUCAGCCAGGCUCUUUGCCUCAGUGUCCCCAAGUGUUAAUUGGAGACAGUAGCUCUUAUAUUGUGUGGUUGCUGCAAGGGUAAAAUGAGUUAGAAGACAUCAAGGGCUUAGAACGGUGCCUGGCACAUAGUAAGUGCUAAAUGAAUCUGGCUAUUAUUAGAUCAUGGAGCUUAUUAUUAGAUCACGGGUGAGUCAGAGGAUAGACAAUCAGGGAGUAACUAGGACCAUCUUAGAGUGAGCUAAGUGCCUCAGGCGAGAUAAUGCAGAGGUGGGGGACAGAGUGGGUGGGGAGGGGAGCCGCCAUACAGUGGCCAGGACCAGCUUUGCCCAAGUGGUGGCAACCGCAUGACCACAGGAACGAUGGCGUGAGCCCCGUGGCAACCUGGAGGAAGGGUGUGCUGGGCAGGGGAGGGCGGUGCAAAGACCCCAAGAAAGAGAGUCUGGCCCAUUGGCCAGCACGGCUGGAGUGUGGGGACAGGGCAGGGGUGUGCGGGGGAGACUGGAGUCCCAGGAGAGGCCAGGUUGCAGGGCAUUGAGGGCCAGAGGAGGCACCUGGGCCUGUUCCAUUCCCAACCCUCAGGAUGGCCCACCCAUUACCCACAGCUGCACGUGAACGUCCUUUGGCGCUGGCCUCCAGGGUGGGGAAACCAGGUUCCUGCAGAGAGGGGCAGAUCUGAGUGUCCCCCGCCCUCGCCUGGGUGCACUCAGGGUCAGGCCUGGUGCCCGCAGAGUCCAUCCCAUGCCUCAUUACCCCCGGCUGGCUGAGGCCCACCCUGGGCUCCUGGUGGGUGGGGGCACUUCUGUGAGCUCCACCACUGUGUCUGUGAGCCCAACCCCGACCAGCCCCCUCCAGCUUCUGGGGCCUGCAAGGAGGAGGAAGGCCAGGGUAGAGGGAAUGGAGAGAGACUGUUCCAUGCAGAGGGGUGAGCCACCUUCUGCGGUGGAGGCCAGGAGCAAGGAUAUGCUCUGAGCCUGGUCUGGGGCCCCUCCCCCACUUCCCACCUCCCAGCUCUUCCCUCCUAGAGACACCUUCUUUGUCUGCAGAGGCCACUGCUUUGAUUCUGUUGUUGCUAGGUGAUGGGAACUGGGGGGAGCAAAGAGUGGGGAACUGGGCAGGGUCUGGCGGGGCUGUGGUGGGGGAAGCUGAAGCAUGAAGGCUCGAGGAGCACACAGACACCUACACACAGCUCCGCGGGCAUGUGGGGACCCAGACCCACCCCCACAGCAGACACCCCCACAGAGCACUCAUGGCCCCCACAGAAAUACACCCACACUCAUCACAGCAAACCAAAACAAUCACACGCCGGUACACAAACACACACACCCCCGCACCAAUCCAGGCAGACACAAAGCUCACGGCGACAGGCAGAUCUGAUUCACACAGACACAGGCACAGGUGCUUCCUGAUGCCACCCUCUCUUGGUCACGUGCCAGCACUUGGAGGGAGGAAAGUGCCUCACCAGGCUGAGAUGCCCAAGGGACCCCCCAGGGAGGGAAAGCAGGACACACUGGGACAGUUGCUUCCAGCCCUGUCCACACCCUUGUGCCCAUCAGGUAUGCCGCUCACCCCCACCCCACCUGGACCUUGGUGUCACCUAGGAUUGCAGAGGCCGCCUUCAGCCCAGAGCCUGGGGCCUUGCCCACUGCCUCACCUCCCAGGAUAGGGCAUGCUGUUCCUUUCUCCUUCCCUUUCUUUGCUCUUGUGUGCCUGCCUUUAGCAAACGCCCACUGGGUGUGUGGGUACACUGCGGCCUUUAAAGAGAAGAGAAACACAUGAGGCUUACAGCAGGAGGCCCUGCCUAGGUUCCAAGGGACAUGGAGCAGGGUGGCUGUGUAGAGCUGGGGAGCAUCCCAAGCCUGUGCCAAGGUUCCAAGGACAAAAAGGGCAAGGAGGCCCAGUGCGGGGUGGUGGGGGAGCAGCUAGCCAGGGCCAACAGUGAGCCUCGCGCCUGGGCAGGUGUAGCCUUUAAACGCGGUGGGGGAACCAUGGACAGCAUCUAAGCAGGGACGUGCCGUGAGUCCUGGGGGUGCAGGGGUGUCUAGAGGGGAAGCUGGGAAGCAGGGGUCACAGCUUUCCGACUGGUGGCUGAGUGUGGGGAAGACAGGAGGGGCAGGUGUGAGAUGUACAGCAGACACAGCUGUGUGCUGGGGCAUGGUGGGCUGUGGUGAGAGAGAGGAGCAGGUCUUCUCCCCGCGUGUUCAGAGCAGAUCCAAACUCUUCUCCCAUUCCUUCCUCCACCGUGCAUCCUCAGCACCCCUCAGCACUGGCCUGUGUGGGCAGCGUGAGCACAGAGAGCAGGAGCUUGCCCUCAGAGGCUUCAGGGGGUCGCUUGUACCCAGUGGUAUGGUCAGCAUCAUGUUUGACCAAAGGGAGGAAGGUGGCUGUGACCAGAGCGAGGGGGGGUCCUGAUGCAGCUGGGGAGUCAGGCUCGAGUGCAUGCUGUGCAUGUUCUCUGCCUCUCUUCCUGGGGGGCAGGCGAGUCUCCAGAGCCUGGAGGACAAGUUAGCCUUGCGAAGGAUAGCAGAGGACCCAGCCCAGGGGUCCCCAAAAUGGAGCACCAACCCUCCAUGCAGGCCAAGCCACUGGUGAAUAUGCUGCAAAAAAUAUGCUGGAACUUCUAUGAAUACCACAGGGUGUGAGAAGAAAACAUUAGAACUUCUAUUUUGUACCUGUGUUACUCCACAACAAGAAAGCAAUCAGCUUGAUCAAUGCCUACUGUAAAGACGGCACCGCCCUCCGGAGGUCCUUUCUCAGCCCUGGUGUUCGGACAGCCACAUCCCCUCGCAGCAGGGGGAGGCCUGAAGCAUAGAGGGGCCCAUGCAGGUCUAUUCUGUUUCAGCGAAUUGCCUGGGAAAUAAUCCAGGAUCCAUUUCGUGUGGUCAUCUUGUCUCCCUGGUCCCCUCCAGCCUUUCCUCAUCUUUUGUGACCUGGUCACUCUGGAAGGGCGCUGGCCAGUUAGUCCACAGGAUGGGCCUCCCCUGGGGCUUUUCUGAUGCUUCCUUAUGAUGGCACUGGCAUCCUGAGGGGGAGGACCACAGAGAGGAGGUGCUCCUCAUCACACCACAUGGGGGUCCAUGCACCAGUGCCACUGCUUUCCAGGGCUCUUCACCUUCAUCACUGGUGGAGGUGGCGUCUGCCAAGAAGCAGAAAGUUGAGGCUUAGAAGGUGCACGGCCCUACCUCUUCCGAGGUGCCCCUGCGGGCUGUCUACAGACCAGGCAGCACAUGCCUGAUAGCAGCUGCAUAAGGAAAAGCAGGAGCCAGCUCGUGCACAGUGGCCUCAAGUGUGCACUGGGCAUGUUCUCUGCCUCACCAUCCCUGUGUGACAGAUGAAGCAUGGCAAGCCAGGCUCCAGAGAAGCAUCCUGAGGACCAGUGUUCCUAGGGACCUCAUUCUUCUGACCUCAUUCCUACAACGUUUUGUCACUGCAAAGGAAAUCACCAAGGCCAGCAUGACAGCCCUCAACAGAAGCCAAGGCCAAGUCCUCGAACUUCCUAGUCUGCACAAUGACAAGUGAGCUCAUGGAAACCUCUCCAUCGUUGACCAGGAUCUAUAGGAAAACCCUCCUCUUCUUCUAUAUGCAAAGGCUGCACAGCUCCUGGUUCACCUGCACCUCUCCAGACCACCAUGGUGCCUGCAGCUCUGAGGGCAUUUUAAAUCAUCACAGAACAACAAGCAUAUAAGCAUCAUGAGCGCCUCUGGACCUCUGACGUGCCUUGUGGAGGCCUGCCAGGCCCACGUUUUAAUUUACAUGAACUCGAUGCCCUUUUUGACAGGGAGAGAUCUGUUUCUUUAUUUGUUAGCCUUUCCCCUGGACCUGCUAGAUCUGGACCAUCCCCAGGAAAGGAAGG
rnacentral:lncRNA from 1 species